rnacentral:lncRNA from 1 species
CUCUAAGCUCUAAUUUCUAUCCCAAAAAUUCUGCUAAAAUUUUCGUUCGAGCACUCCAUUCUUGUUGAGGCAGAAAACUGACUUGAGCGUCGGAGGGUCUUGCCGGAGCAACCCCAACUCCGGUUUAGACUUCUUUUGCAGGUCCCGACGGCGACCGCGACUCCCUUGACUCCAGCUUCUCCGACGCAGGCAAAUUUUUGCACCAACAAUAUUUAUAUAGUUGUAUAUUUUUUAAAAAAAUUAAUAAAUAUUAUAUAAAAUUAUAUAGGAUUACAUAUAGAUUCGGAU